GACGUAGGGGGCAAGCGUUGUUCGGAAUUAUUGGGCGUAAAGCGCUUGUAGGCGGCAUGUCAAGUCGCGUGUGAAAUCCCCAGGCUUAACCUGGGAAGUGCGCGCGAAACUGACGAGCUUGAGUGCCGGAGAGGGUCGCGGAAUUCCCGGUGUAGAGGUGAAAUUCGUAGAUAUCGGGAGGAACACCAGUGGCGAAGGCGGCCACCUGGACGGAUACUGACGCUGAGACGCGAAAGCGUGGGUAGCAAACAGG
rnacentral:rRNA from 1 species